UACGUAGGGUGCAAGCGUUGUCCGGAAUUAUUGGGCGUAAAGGGCUCGUAGGCGGUCCAUCGCGUCGGGAGUGAAAAGCUGGGGCUUAACCCCAGUCCUGCUUCCGAUACGGGUGGACUAGAGGUAGGUAGGGGAGAACGGAAUUCCUGGUGUAGCGGUGAAAUGCGCAGAUAUCAGGAGGAACACCGGUGGCGAAGGCGGCAUCCUGGACCAAUACUGACGCUGAGGAGCGAAAGCCAGGGGAGCAAACGGG
rnacentral:rRNA from 1 species